rnacentral:lncRNA from 1 species
AAUCCGAUAUCGAUUGGUCCUUGAAAUCGGACAAUUCAGGUUCGUACGAAGUUCGUUCCGAAAUAGUGUGGUUGGUGUGUUGUAUAGUUCUAGGGAUUGGAUUUCACUCAAAACCCAUCAAAUGACAACUACCACAAUAUUAUGAUGUUCCCCAAGUUUUGGACUCAAUCCGAUAUCGAUUGGUCCUUGAAAUCGGACAAUUCAGGUUCGUAUGAAGUUCGUUCCGAAAUGGUGUGGUUGGUGUGUUGCAUAGUUCUAGGGAUUGGAUUUCCCUCAAAACCCAUCAAAUGACAACUCCCACAAUAUUAUGAUGUUCCCCAAGUUUUGGACUUAAUCCGGUAUCGAUUGGUCCUUGAAAUCGGACAAUUCAGCUUCGUACGAAGUUCGUUCUGAAAUGGGGUGAUUGGUGUAUUGUAUUGUCCUAGAGAUUGGAUUUCACUAAAAACCCACCAAAUGACUCCUCCCACAAUAUUAUGAUGUUCCCCAAGUUUUGGACUCAAUCCGAUAUCGAUUGGUCCUUGAAAUCGGACAAUUCAGGUUCGUACGAAGUUCGUUCUGAAAUGGGGUAAUUGGUGUAUUGUAUAGUUCUAGAGAUUGGAUUUCACUCAAAACCCAC